UGCACUCGCUCUCUCCCCGACAGGCCCCCGGCUACCACUCGCCUCCUCCCCACCCCAGAUCCGUCGACCUCACCCUGCCCACCACCGCCCACCGCCAGCUCCAACGACCCCCACGUUGGCGCCCAUCCACGAGCUGGAGCAGCCGGAUGAGGACGACCCUACCGAGACUGCCUCUUCCUCCGGCGACCACGCCACCCAGCGCCACCAGGACGCCGCCGCACCACCACCGAGCUUCCAGCUCUCCCCGUCCCAAUCCCGUCCUCCGGCCGGCCGCUCCUCCCGCACCACCAGAAGCAGCACAGGCGGACAGCAGCAGCUGCGCCCGCCUCCCGCCCACGCCAGCAGAAGCCGUGCUCGAUCCGGUCAAAGGUGAUAUUUUUACACGGGCGGCGGUGCUCGAUCCGUGCUGGAGCAGCGGGAGGAGGACGGAGGCGCAGCGGGCUUCUGUUCUUCCCUGCUGUCGAGAAGCAGCCCCGGCCUGUUGACCCGCGCGCCCUCGUCCUGGCCGUGGCCGCUACCUGGGCUGCUCGCGAGGCGGCGCAACAUGUCGGGGUCGCCGACGACCCUGAGGAGGAAGAGGAGUGCUUGGUCCGGCGCUCCAUCUCCUGCACCCUGCCGCCACGCGCUCCUCGGAGAUGCCCUGCCAGCCAUGGAGUAAUUCAAGUUCAAGGUUUCUCAGAACUAACAAAUGCUGCUCUUUAAUCAAUUAGGAAGCUGAUAGUGGUAGCUUACAACUCAUCUUUUUGGUACUGCCAGCAGCCUUGCCGUUCCAAGCAAUCAAGAUCAUCAGCAAGUCAAUAACGGAGACGGUCGAGCACUGUCAUCACGCUGAACCUGCAACAGCAGUUAGAUGACUGAAGAUUGGGUUGUGGUUGGAGUGAGUGUUGAGCAUACAAAAUGAUGAUUGCUGCAUCUGCAUCUUACUGUCAUUUCUGCUCUUAGUGAAGCUAGCUGUUGGUGAAGUGUGAUUUUCUCACAAUAUAAGACAUCCGGACUCUAUCCUUGGUGGUCGAGCAGCGUUAGCCAACUUUGUCUUGCUGAUCUAUGGCUGAAUAAUUAUGUUGAAGCUUGCUGAUGUGGUCAUGCAACUAUUUCCAGGUAUGAUCUAAUGACUCGUCGGAAAGAAACCUGUCACAAAGAGCCUUUUGACUUAACCCUCGUUACAUGUGGCAAUUUGGGUAAUACUUUGAAAUUUUGGAUGUGUCCUGGUUGCAAUUUCCUGAACCCAUACAGGUGCAGAGUACAAUGCUUUCUGGUAGAAAACCAUUAAUAAAAGAAUAGACAAAUUGUUAUUCUAUUCUGUUCUACACAAACAGGGGUAAUAGAAUGAAUUGGCUUAUUCACAUUUCACAUUCAUUUUAGCUAAUCAUUCUGCCAUUUAGUGCUCCAUUCGACUUACAGAGUGCUGCUUGGCCACAAAGAAAGAGAGAUAUUAAGCAGACUAUGGGUCGAAGAGAACCAGUUUAAGCAGAGAGUCUGAGUCCGAGGAGCUCGCCUGGAGGAAGAAGAGAUAUUCCAGUAUACAAUGGUUCAGAGAGUUGGCGGCUCGUGGGAUGGCUACUGGGCAAUGCUAAUAUGCUCCACAAUCCCAGUAGCAAAUGGAACAUGGACGCCUACUGGAUGAACAAGUAACAUGCCAGUGAUGCAUUGCAGGUUUUGCAGCAUUGGUGUAUCAAACUAUUGUUCAUACUAGUACUCCUGUUCAAUCAAGAUGUUUCCAAAAUUACAGGAAAUCCAAAAUUUAUUCUGUAUACUACUCCAGCAGAAAUCCAGCAGAAUAAUUAUAAUUACUCUGUGUUCAUCCAGCAGAAGAGGGACACACGGAGUAAUUAUUUUGUCUCUGUGUUCAUCCAGCAGAAAUCCAAGCAAUUCUGAUCAAAAUCAUUGUGCGUAUGCAGGAGCAGAAAGGAGCAGCGAGCAGCGGCGGCGGCUGACCUCGAGCUCUCGGUUGGAGUGGAGGGAGGCGGCCGGCGAGGGAUAUGCGGCCAGCGGGGAAGGAUUCGGAGCUGCGGCGGAGCAGGCAACCGGUGGGGAAAGGCGGCCGCCGGUGAGGGAGCUCCGGACCGCGGCGAGGGAGCUUUGGAUCGCGGCGGGGAAGGGCGACCAGAGGGGAUCGGGCUCUCGAUUGGAGCGGCGCAGGCAACUGGCGGGGAAGGGCGCCGGAGAUGUGGACGACGGAGGAGCCUGGCGGAGGGGAGGAGCGAUGGAGGAAGACGACGGAGUCCUGGCGGAGGGAAGGAGCGAAGGAGGAAGACGACAGCCCGUGCGAUUUCAAAUCGGUGGGUGGGGGAGGGGCAGUUUGGUAAUUUCACUCAUUUUCACUUGGUCGGAAAACCUCCUCCAACGACAAUUAUUUCGGAACGGAGGGAGUAUGUUAUUGAUGUGUACUUUACUAGUGUUCGUAGUAACCCUUAGGUAUUUGAUACUGGUUCUGUUGCUAAGAUUAGUAACUCGAAACAGGAGUUGCAGAAUAAAACAAAGACUAGUUAACGGCAAGGUGUUGGAAAUGAUUCCAAGGUUGAUACGAUCACCAUCGCACACUCCCUCUACUUUCGAGAUUAGUGCUGAAUCUAAAUAAAUGUUAUGUGAUAUUUGCGUUA